AGUUAAUUAGCAAAAAUGCGUAUAUUUUGAAAAUAUAUUAUAGAAAUUAAAAAUUUUCUAUUAACUU
rnacentral:tRNA from 1 species